CAAAGCAGCAAAGCCACAACCAGCAACCGACGACCGAAUCGAUUCGCGCGCGCGCGCGCGUCCUCCCUCCCGCCAAUUCCACUGCCUCGCGCGGGAAACGCACGCCACCCGCCCCACCUCGCGCCGGUCCAUAGAUGGAGAUGGUCAGGUCAGAUGCAGAUGGAGAUGGGGAAGAAGGAAGCGGGCAUGGGGGUGGUCUGGGGUCGCCGGAGAGCAGCCCCUCCGCCGGAGGAGGACGACGGCGAGGUCGAGAGGUCCAGAGCCACCAAAGCCAAGAACGACCCCCUCUCCGUCUACGGGCCACGCUGCUGAAGCUUCGACAUGGCUCGGCACAAGCUUUCACAGCCGCGCCGCCGGAUGGGGAUGGCAGGAACGGAGGCGGCGAUGAUGGAGCUGCUAGUGCUCAGAGCAAGCAAACAAACUGAGGGCAUCUAGGGGCUCAAGAUGCUGUGCUGUGUUGUGUUUUGGUUUUCAGGCGUUUUGUAUUCAUUGUGUUACGGUAAAAAUACAAAUAAGAUUAUGGGAAAAUUUGGUUCAAUAGCACUGAAAGAUUAUUGUUCUGGUCUAUAUCACUGGCUCCCUGCUCAACACCAUAACUGUCAGAUAUAGCUCUGAAAUUUCCAACUUGGUUGGCUGAAUGAUCUGAGAACUAGAAGUUGCUUGUUUUUGUUCA